ensembl:lncRNA
CCAAAAUCCAUUCCUGACCUUUCAAGAUGAUCAUUGCUAUAAAUAGGUUAAAUGUGACCUAUUUCAUAUUUUAAUUGUCAGGAUAUUGAGACUGUAGUUUUGGAAUCUGCUCUGUGUCCGGAUGCCUGGAAAACUCUGAAUCCUGCUAAAACUUGACAGUCCCAAGCAUGCAGAUAGCAAAGGGCCAGGACUCAGGCCCAUGGGUUCAAUUUACGUAGCAGCUUCUCCCACACACAGCUGCACUAACAUCAGCAGUAAAGGUUGCAAAUGAGGUUUCUAGAUAUUUUCAUCCUCUUGCAGUCUGAGUCACUGGGAGUCCCCGAGAGUUUCUGGAUGGAGUUGAAGCCUGGACCUCCUGGCCCUAACGUCAUGCAGCCUUGGUCCACAAGGGACAGGCCGUUGUGUUUCUCACCAUGGUUCACCACAGCCAACACACUGGAGCACCAUCGGUGCAAAAAGAGAUGGGCUGCUCAUCCCUGUAAAGGCCCCCAGCUGUACAUGAAAUUGAUCCAAAAACAUUUAGGGGAAGGGAACCAACACUUUUCUACUGGAAAUGUAUCAAAGGGCAAAAUCCAGCACCUUGUAUCAUCUGGCUUACUAAUGCUACAUGUUCUUUCCAGGUCUUCUGUCAAAAUAGAUGCAGGACAAAAGAGAUUAUUUUUGAUGCUCCUCUGCAUGCUCCAGCUGUGCAGAUAGAGAAGCUCCAGGAGUGGCCAAGGGAACAAAGCGUUGUGCUGUGAAUUGAUUUCUUCGAUGUCUCGUCACAUAUAAGGUCAAGUAUCAGCCUUGCCCUCAGGAAUGGCAUAAGGACAAUUUAUUUUCUUCAUCUAGACAACUGUUUUUUCUGAAACAUGAUUAGUAUUAUUAUUUUUAAGUCUAUGAGACUGCUCCUCCCUGGUUAAUGUUGGUUAAAACCGAGCAAGAGGAUCAACAGCUAAGGGCUGGGGGUGGUAGAGGCACAUGCAUAUGCAUAUAAACAGUAAAGCAACAUGUAGCGUGACAUUGUAAGCCUCCUCUUCACAAAUGCUGACAAAUGAUGGACUUUGCUGCCCAAGGCUAGAAGUCUAUCAUCGGCCACAGCAAAUAAAUAAAUAAAUAAGUUGCUCUAGUAAGGAGGCUUUAGUAAAACAAUAAUUAUGCUCUGUUUCUUCCCCAGUAAAUAAAUAAACUAAAAAUCUGUUUGAAAUUUUUAAAAAGCAAAUUCAGCAAGUCUUUCAAAGAGAACACCACAAAGCUACAAUGUUAGCAACGCUGGUCUCAGUCAAGACAGAGCUUUUAAGAAGUUGGAGUAUUUAUAAACUGCCACAUAAACUGAUAAGUCUGGAUGAUUUUAUGUACCAUAAUUGCUCUUUGCUACAUCUCAGGGAACACAGAGGGGAACAUGAAGCUUCCCAUCAAGUUAUUUGUCAGUAUAAGAGAACAUUUAACGGGAAAAUAAAAUAGUUAACAACCUUUAAAACAAGCUGAAAACUUUAAAGUAAUGGAUGCCUUUAAAAACUUCAGGAGUUAGUUCUUUAUGGGAAACUCAGAAUUAAAAAAAAAAAAAAUGUUUGGAGUAAAGUCAAAAUGUUAUGAGCAGUGCUCUGCUGUAAUGACACAUAUCAGCAGUAUUUGUAACCAGAAGAACAACGUGAUAACUUUUAAUCGCAAGGGACUGGGCUUUGUGGGAAGUGCCUAAUACACAGACAUCCUUUAUAGGUUUCCAGUUAUGACCUAUGUCUAAGAGACAUUUUAAUGAUAACUAAAGAAAGUAGAUGGAUUGUCUUCCCAGAGUGUUGAAGGUCCUGCUUGUUGUCAUCCGCAGCUUCUAUAAAGACCAGAGAUUUUCAAAGGUACUCUUCUGUCCUGCUAUCAGCACGCAAUACCUCGAGGAUGGGACUAUCUAAGAUAAAACAUGCCAGAGACAUGUACUCCUCAGGAUUUCCUGUGGGAGUCUGACCAAAAGAAGGCAAUAUUAAUAAAUAUAAAUUCUGGAACAUUAUUAUCACCAGAACUGUGUCAUGCAGUUUACCCUUGAAUUCUUAUAACCCCUCUAGUUUCUCAGGCAGUUCAAACAUUUAACUGCAACUGGUAAUAGUGUGAGACCUCCCCACUGGGACAAUUGUUUUCAAUUACAUUAAAGGCUCAAAGACUGUGAUAGACAUGCCAAAGCAAGGAGUUUAGCUUGCGGAAUGUUUUAACUCUUUGAACUGAUGUGGGAUAUGGGAGUCCCUGGC